rnacentral:rRNA from 1 species
AACAAAUACAAAGUGUUCAAAUCACGUCUUAUAAUAAGAAGAAAUCUUUCUCGGUAUCAAUCCCCUUGCCCCUCAUUCUUUGAGAAUCAGAAGGAUCCUUUUCGAGUUUCCAGUUUCUGGUACUCCAGAGCGGAGUAG